GUAGGUGAACCUGCGGAAGGAUCAUUAAUGGCCCUGGGCCGCUCCCGGCCGCCGGGAGCGCUUAGCCCGAGACACCCACCUUGACUAUGCGCACCUUUGUUGUUCCCUCGGCGGGCCUCCCGCCGCUGGGGACCCCAUCAACCCCUUUGUAUAAGCAUCGAAACCCCUAAAAACAAAAUCAAUCAAUUACAACUUUCAACAAUGGAUCUCUUGGUUCUGGCAUCGAUGAAGAACGCAGCAUCUGACUGAC
rnacentral:misc_RNA from 1 species